UACGUAGGGUGCGAGCGUUAAUCGGAAUACUGGGCGUAAAGCGUGCGCAGGCGGUGAUGUAAGACAGGUGUGAAAUCCCCAGGCUUACUCGGAACUGCAUUUGUGACUGCAUCGCUGGAGUGCGGCAGAGGGGGAUGGGAAUUCCGCGUGUAGCAGUGAAAUGCGUAGAAUAUGCGGAGGAACACCGAUGGGCGAAAGGGCAAUCCCCUGG
rnacentral:rRNA from 1 species